rnacentral:rRNA from 1 species
AUUGAACGCUGGCGGCAUGCCUUACACAUGCAAGUCGAACGGCAGCACGGGGCAACCUGGUGGCGAGUGGCGAACGGGUGAGUAAUGCAUCGGAACGUACCUUUCAGUGGGGGAUAACGUAGCGAAAGUUACGCUAAUACCGCAUAUUCUGUGAGCAGGAAAGCAGGGGAUCACAAGACCUUGCGCUGACUGAGCGGCCGAUAUCAGAUUAGCUAGUUGGUGAGGUAAAGGCUCACCAAGGCGACGAUCUGUAGCGGGUCUGAGAGGAUGAUCCGCCACACUGGAACUGGGACACGGUCCAGACUCCUACGGGAGGCAGCAGUGGGGAAUUUUGGACAAUGGGCGCAAGCCUGAUCCAGCCAUGCCGCGUGAGUGAAGAAGGCCUUCGGGUUGUAAAGCUCUUUCGGCCGGGAAGAAAUCGUAUGGGUUAAUACCCUGUGCGGAUGACGGUACCGGCAUAAGAAGCACCGGCUAACUACGUGCCAGCCGCCGCCGUAACAC